rnacentral:tRNA from 1 species
UGGGUUGUAGCUCAGUGGUGGAGCACUUGCCUAGCAUGUGGGAGGCACUGGGUUUGAUCCUCAGCACCACAU